CUACCUGGAGAUCUCUCCUUUUGGAGUGUUUGGUGAGCCCUGGUCAUUGGGAUGGGUAAGCAAAUCUUUCUCUCUUUUUUUGACUGGACUGUGGCCGUUGCCCUUUUUUUGGGGGUAAAUUUAGCACUGGUUCUCUGACAUCACCUUUCCCUACAACCAUCUGCAGUAGAACCUCCUGCAGUGUUGCUUCCUGCUGUCCUUCCAGCCCAGGGAUGCUGACAUGGGACAAGAUACUCUGAUAAGGAUCUGAAGAGCAGACCAGAUCGUGACUUUCAUUUGUAGUGGUUCCUGGAUCAUAACCCAAAGGACAAACCAAGAGUCCAGAUGGAUCCUAGGAGUUCUGAGAGCGUGCUGCCAGAGCCAGCAAGCAUGGGGGCCUCCUGUUCUUGGUACUGCAUGGCCCUUUGUACAGCAUCCUUACACAAAUCAUGUUAUGUUUCGGUUUUAAUGUUCUUUUUCUCAAUUUCCACUUGUUCUGCUGCAUUACCUUAUAGCAAACGUUUUUUGAGGAGCUAAACCUAAAUCUCACUGAAGUAUUUAAUUAGAAAUAGCCUCACUGAAAUAAAUUAUUUAAACCUUAAAGACUUUGCUUCUGAGCCUGGCUGAUGUAUGCCAAACCACUAUGGAUGUUAAGGAGAGAAGCCCUCACUUAAUGGCACCGAGACAGGAGAUCCCUCACAUCCCCUUAACAUGGGUAGCAGCUGGCAAACAAGCAGGUGACCACAAGUCUUCUGCAAGUGCUGUAAAGCAGUUUGCUGCCCUUGCAUCACCAGCUGUGCAGACACAGUGCCUGUGCUGGAUGGAUGGUGAGCAGUGGUUCCUAGAAGGGAGACUGAGCACGCAGCCUCUGCUAUGUGCCAUGCAGGCAUUUCACCUCUUUUGCCUUAAUUUGAUGUGUGCAAGUAAGUAUGGGCUUGUAAUUUUUAAUGGAAAUAUUAGACUAGAGAAACUACUGCAAACAUUGCUUGUUAAUUCAAUAUUUUACUUCCAGAGGCUGAUGGAGUCUGGCCUGUAG
ensembl:lncRNA